rnacentral:ncRNA from 2 species
GCUACGUAGAACGGGCAUGGUCCCCCGUCGGUGCAAAGCGCCUGGGGGAUAAAUGGGAAUUCGGUCAGGGUGACCCAACUCGGGACCCGAUGCCGAAGCCGCCCCCGCGACUGUAUGCGGCGAGCCUCCGCCAAACGCCACUGGAUCCCCGGAUCCGGGAAGGCGGCGGACAGGCCCCGACCCGCAAGCCAGGAGACCAGCCAUGCACUCAACCAGGCC